rnacentral:rRNA from 1 species
AUUGAACGCUGGCGGCAUGCCUUACACAUGCAAGUCGAACGGUAACAGGUCUUCGGAUGCUGACGAGUGGCGAACGGGUGAGUAAUACAUCGGAACGUGCCCGAUCGUGGGGGAUAACGCAGCGAAAGCUGUGCUAAUACCGCAUACGAUCUACGGAUGAAAGCGGGGGAUCGCAAGACCUCGCGCGGACGGAGCGGCCGAUGGCAGAUUAGGUAGUUGGUGGGAUAAAAGCUUACCAAGCCGACGAUCUGUAGCUGGUCUGAGAGGACGACCAGCCACACUGGGACUGAGACACGGCCCAGACUCCUACGGGAGGCAGCAGUGGGGAAUUUUGGACAAUGGGGGAAACCCUGAUCCAGCCAUGCCGCGUGCAGGAUGAAGGCCUUCGGUUGUAAACUGCUUUGUACGGAACGAAAGGUACUUUCUAAUAAAGAGGGCUCAUGACGGUACCGUAAGAAUAAGCACCGGCUAACUACGUGCCAGCAGCCGCGGUAAAACGU